rnacentral:misc_RNA from 1 species
AACACAGUCAAACCAGGCUUCUUCUUGGAAAAUCACGUUGUUGUCUAUCUGACUGUGAUGCCACUGCAACUGUGUGCGGUGCAAUGAAAGAUUAGAAACCUCAUAUUUUCGACGAGACACUGACGUGGCCUCGAUAUGAAGAUAUUCACUAGGAGCAAACUGACUUCCGGUGUCACUAACCGGGAUUGUUUUAGGUGCAUCAGGGUCUGAAGCAGAAAUCUUCCCCAG